UGCCAAGUUUUUAAGGGCGCACGGUGGAUGCCUUGGCACCAGGAGCCGAGGAAGGACGCUGGAGCCUGCGAUAUUCCCCGGGGAGCCGGCAGCCAGGCUGUGAUCCGGGGGUUUCCGAAUGGGGUAACCCGGCGGCCGUGAUGGGCCGUCGCCCCUGCCUGAAUGCAUAGGGCAGCGGGUGGUAACGCGGGGAAGUGAAACAUCUCAGUACCCGCAGGAAGAGAAAGCAACAGCGAUUCCCUUAGUAGUGGUGAGCGAAGAGGGAAGAGGCUAAACCGGGUGCGUGUGAUAGCCGGCAGGCGUUGCGCGCCCGGGGUCGUGGGACCGCCCGGCUGGUACUGCCGUGCCGGCGGGAAGUGAUAAACCGCGUGGGGUAGCCGAACAGCCUGGAAAGGCUGGCCGUAGCGGGUGAUAGUCCCGUAGGCGAAACUCCCGCGGCUUCCGUGGCGUGUUCCCGAGUAGCACGGGGCCCGUGGAAUCUCGUGUGAAUCUGGGAGGACCACCUCCUAAGCCUGAAUACUCCCUGGUGACCGAUAGUGGACUAGUACCGUGAGGGAAAGGUGAAAAGCACCCCGGUGAGGGGUCGUGAAAUAGUACCUGAAACCGUGCGCUUACAAGCCGCAGGAGCGUGACGUCCC
rnacentral:rRNA from 1 species